AUACGGAGGAUGCAAGCGUUACUCGGAAUCACUGGGCGUAAAGCGCGCGCAGGCGGCUUGGUAAGUUGGAUGUGAAAGCCUACGGCUCAACCGUAGAACUGCAUCCAAAACUGUCAAGCUAGAGUGUGGGAGAGGAAGAUGGAAUUAGUUGUGUAGGGGUAAAAUCCGUAGAGAUAACUAGGAAUACCAAAAGCGAAGGCAAUCUUCUGGAACACUACUGACGCUGAGGCGCGAAAGCGUGGGGAGCAAACAGGAUUAGAAACCCCAGUAGUCC
rnacentral:rRNA from 1 species